UGGGGAAUAUUGGACAAUGGGCGAAAGCCUGAUCCAGCCAUGCCGCGUGUGUGAAGAAGGUCUUCGGAUUGUAAAGCACUUUAAGUUGGGAGGAAGGGCAGUAAGCGAAUACCUUGCUGUUUUGACGUUACCGACAGAAUAAGCACCGGCUAACUCUGUGCCAGCAGCCGCGGUAAUACAGAGGCUGCAAGCGUUAAUCGGAAUUACUGGGCGUAAAGCGCGCGUAGGUGGUUCGUUAAGUUGAAUGUGAAAGCCCCGGGCUCAACCUGGGAACUGCAUCCAAAACUGGCGAGCUAGAGUAGGGCAGAGGGUGGUGGAAUUUCCUGUGUAGCGGUGAAAUGCGUAGAUAUAGGAAGGAACACCAGUGGCGAAGGCGACCACCUGGGCUCAUACUGACACUGAGGUGCGAAAGCGUGGGGAGCAAACAGG
rnacentral:rRNA from 1 species